UAACUAAACGGAGGCUAUCUGAUUGGUGGACAAUAUCAACGCAAAAGUAAAGGAGUAAAUACAUAGGUAUGCACAUAGAGUUAGUAGAACAACUCUAGAGGAAAAGCUGGGCCGGAAAAGUGGGAACCUCUAGGGCGCCGCCCUGUUGCUACUGGUCAAUGUGGCCAGCGCAAUUACUAUUGAAAGAGCUGAAAACAAGUACAGGUCACUUAAUGCUUUGUCAUCUAAAAACGCAUACCUGAUGGCUUUAUGAAGGUGGAACGUUAUAUUAAAUUUACAGAAAGCGAUCGCUAAGUCCAUGACUUAUGUAAAUCACGAUGUACGCAUUCAUGCAAUAAAGGAUGACACGAAUUUCGGUUUCGAAUCUGUUUUUUGGUUGCAUAGUAGUUUCGUAUAGUUUAGGUUUGACAUGCGAUCGCGCGUCGACAUCGGACGCUAUGACACACUCGUUCGUGCCUUAUGUGCCACCGAAGCCCCGAAGUGCUCUGGCAUAUACCUUCACAUGUUUCCCUUCAGUAGGAAAUUGCUGGACAGGCAGACCAGCGCACCGGAAUUGUACUGGCGAAGCCACAAGCAACUCAAAGAAUCUGUUUAAUUGUUGCACUUUGAACAAUCAUGCUUCUACAAAGGCCACAGCAGAAAAACAGCCUGAUGCCGAAUAUUUCUGUGCCACGAAGUAAUCAAGAGGCGAGUGCCUAUAAUGCGGACGAAAUCGAGUGCAUCGAGACUUAGAACGACAGAAAGCUGAACUAGUUGGUAAGGAUUCAUUAUGCAAAACAGAGGUGAGGCGUGCAGACAGGACACAAGAGUAGAGAAGUGGGCGGCGCUUGUGUUGUUUGCUUGUAAAUACUCUACUCUCGUGUCCUGUCUGCACGCCUCACCUCCGUUUUGCAUAACGAGUGCAUCAACCCACAUAUUGAUAGCGUAGGCGUUUUAUUAACUGUGUAAUGUUUCCAACACUUCCUUGCAUGCCAUUUCAUGUGGAAUAUAUUUUCUGGUCACAAAUGUGUGCAGCGAAUCAAUUUGCAUGAUCGACUCCGCGCCUGUGGGACCGUUCACUUGCACUUGAUGCUGAGUCUUUUACAUGUAUCCAUAAACUGCAGAUAUGCACAUCAGGCCCCUGCAAGCAUUUUCAAAAUUCAAUUAUUUUAGACAACAGGCACAUAUGCAAUACUGACAUAAUCCCGAAUACCACACGUUUCCCUUUUAUGCAGAUAUGCAAUGGCAAGCCCUUCCAUGUGUUCCAAAAGUAAAAUUUAAGCUCUAAAUUAAAGAAGAUAUUUCUAGUCAGAAACAAGCAAAAAUGGUGACUGCAGAGUAUCAGAAGCCCAAGGUACAGAAAUUGUGAGAAGUGUCGAAUGAUUUCAAGGAAAGAGUCGUAUUUGAAAAUGCAAGACUCUUUAGUGGAGGUCAAGCAAGUCAAUAUAGGUAGAAUACUCUGCAAAAUUAUGCGAGUGAGGGGAUGUCAAACAGUGGGUCAGGAAAUGCAUUGUUUUUCUGCUAAACAAGAGCUGAUUGCCAUUACAUAAGUCACUUCAGCAUCAUGAUAAAUUCAGAAAUAAACCAAAAAACAAGACACGCAAAAAUAAAAAAAAAACAUUUAAUGAUGCUCUCUCCACACUGGGAUAAAUAAAAACAAACACAUCACAUCUAAUGUGGACAUAUCAGAUGCCUUGUGAAACACUAAAGGAACAAUUCAGUUUCGAGCUAUGGCACUUGCCACAUAGAUGUGGGGGGGCCUUGCACCAAUAGUGAUAGUUACCACUGCAUUUAGAAAUUGAAAGCAUUCGUGCAGACAAGGAUGAUUCUUUCUAUUCUUGGCUACCACUUCAAAUGCCUCCACCAAGUGUUACAAUGCUGCACGCAGCCAUACUAAGGAUCUCGCAGCAACACCUGCAGGUAAAAAGCAGAAGCAGUCAAAGUGCUGGUGUGUUCUGGACACUAUGUUUGAAAACAUUUAGGCAAGAAGAGUGCAAGAAGCAGACAUAACAACUGCAUUUAUUUCCAUAAUUCCCCAUUUAAAUGGCCUUUUCUUUUUGCUUAGACAAUGCCUACGCCUAGCCACAGCAGCUCCCUCAUACAGACUCCGCAAGCCAAGAGGCCGUGGAGCCAAAUGCAGGUAAGAGGCAAUAAGCAAUAGCACUGGUAUUGACAUUCAUCUAAUUUCUUUUUAUUUCGUUUAGGCAGCCAGCACACCUCGAACAGCCACCUUGACUGCAGGUGUGUCACCCUAGUCGCCAAGGAAACAUUUGAGGGAAAGUGACAGGCAAUGUGAACAGCCACUUCUCCAUGUAAACAAUACUCUUUCUCUCGAAUGACUCCUACACCUCGCCACGCCAGCACACUUGUGCACAAAGAUGCCGCAGAGGCACGUGCAGGUCAGAGGCAAGAAGCAGUGGCACUGGUGUCGACUUUUACCCAAUUUCUUUUUCUUACACUGAGGCAGCCAGCACACCUCGAACAGCCACCUUGAGUGCGGGUGUGUCAGUAGAUUCCUGUUGUACAUAUGCUCAUAAUAAACUUCAGUAAACUUGAA